CAUCAACAGCUUCCUUAUUCGAGCAAGGUGAGCUUACUGUUGCCGAGUGCAGUAGUUGAUUUAUUCUUCUCUGUGUUUAUAUUAUGUUAAAAGAUUAUCUUAAGCUGUACCUGCUUUAAGUAUUCUGUCAUAUUUAUUUUACAUAAUUUAUCAUAUACAUUUCCGGGUGUCUGUGGCUGUAAUAUUAAUAGUUCAACUGUAGUUUGUCAGUAUCUAGCUUCAAAAGGUCACAGUAAUGCUACUUACAUAACAUGAGGAGACAAUGGUCUAUGUACUGACAAGCACCAAAUAUGCCCAUAAUAUAGUUUCAGCUGUAGUUGGUCUUUGGAAAUAGGUAUAUGUGAAAAUAAAGAAGUAUGUUUGUUGGCAUAUCCUUCUACUAAUUAGUCCUUGUAGCAAAAAAAAUUAUUCUCCUCGGUGACAUUUUCUAUUUAAGCUCAGCACAUGGAGUGGUUAUAUUCCCCUUGCGCUUGUGGUUUGCUAGCUGGCGAUAAUUCUAAUCAUUGCGAUGCAUUAGUUGCUCCAGAAUAUAAUACAUACAUCAAUAAUUUAUGACUGAAACGGAAUCCUAUUUGUCAAGCCCCUAAUUUCUGCUGGGGCUUGCAGAUUAAACCUCUGUUUUAGCACAUUCUAGAAACAAACAUAUGUUGUUAAUUGGUAUUUGAUGGCUUAACCAUACAGAUAAAUAACUCGUUAUGAUUUCUAGAUUGUAUGUAUCACCGACGUUUCCCUAUGGUCAUGUGAUCUUGUCACUUCCGGGUUUCCAUGUAUACAUUGCUUAUGUUGGAUUUCCCCCCUCCAAACUGCAAGAAAUGUAACUUUACACCAUAGGACGAUCAUUCUCGUUGAAGAAAGGUCGUGUUGGUGGCCUUAUCUGUGGGCACAGCAGUGAAGCCCUCAUGCUUGAGGGGCUGGCCUGUGCGUGGCCUCCGAGGUUGGUCGCUGCUGCAACUGCGUGUUAUAGCUCUCCAGGUUUGGAAAAGGAAUCUCACAAGAAAUCGAGAGACGGAAGAUGUAUGCAAGGUACUUGGAGAUGACGAGCAAGUAUCUAGAGGCACAAAAAACAAAACAUUCGCCACUGAGAGGAGAAUGCCUAGCAAUUAUUUGACAAUUGGAAAAACCAGCAUCACGUCUAUCACUCGAGAGGCACAAGGGAAUUUCCAGCUGAUUUAAUUGAAGCUGUACAGAUGAUUGCGUGAAUUGAAUUAUUAAUCUCGAUGUAAAUGUCAUACGGUGUAGCUUUGUACUAUCACUCCUGAACAUACAUUACUCGCCAUGGUGAUGUUGGUAUUUUUCUGUGUGGUGUUAUUGUGCCAAACAAUAUUUCGUUUCUUUUUU